rnacentral:rRNA from 1 species
UCAAGCGAUAGGUAAGGGCAUUUGGUGAAUGCCUUGGCAAUCAGAGGCGAAGAAGGACGUGGUACACUGCGAAAAGUUACGGGGAGUUGUGAACAAGCAUUGAUCCGUAAAUAUCCGAAUGGGGAAACCCACAGAGCAAUCUGUACUGUAUGAUGAAUAAAUAGUCAUGCAGGGCGAACGCAGGGAACUGAAACAUCUAAGUACCUGUAGGAAAGGAAAUCAACCGAGACUCCGAAAGUAGUGGCGAGCGAAAUCGGACCAGCCGAUGGAUAGUCAGUAAAGAAUCAGAAUUACCUGGAAAGGUAAGCCGGAGAGGGUGACAGCCCCGUACGAGUAGAAAAGCUGACUGUUCUUGAGUAAGGCGGAGCACGAGAAAUUCUGUCUGAAAAUGGGGAGACCACUCUCCAAGGCUAAGUACUACUGAUUGACCGAUAGUGAACAAGUACCGUGAGGGAAAGGUGAAAAGCACCCCUAUAAGGGGAGUGAAAGAGAACCUGAAACCGGAUGCCUACAAGCAGUCGGAGGGUCUAUAAGGCCUGACGGCGUACCUUUUGUAUAAUGGGUCAGCGACUUAAUUUAUGUAGCAAGCUUAAGCCGAUAGGUGUAGGCGUAGAGAAAUCGAGUGUUAACAGCGCGUUAAGUUACAUGAAUUAGACCCGAAACCGAGUGAUCUAGCCAUGAUCAGGUUGAAGGUUGGGUAACACCAACUGGAGGACCGAACCCACUCCCGUUGAAAAGGUAGGGGAUGAAUUGUGGCUAGGGGUGAAAGGCCAAUCAAACUCGGAAAUAGCUGGUUCUCCGCGAAAACUAUUUAGGUAGUGCGGUGAGCGGACACCUUGAGGGGUAGAGCACUGGAAGAGCUAAGGGGGAGCGAUCCUUACUAAACUUUACCAAACUCCGAAUACUCAAGAGUGAUACUCACCAGACAGACAUUAGGUGCUAAGGUCUAGUGUCGAGAGGGAAAGAGCCCAGACCGCCAAUUAAGGUCCCAAAAUUAUGGCUAAGUGGUAAAGGAAGUGAAACGUCCAAAACAGUCAGGAGGUUGGCUUAGAAGCAGCCAUCCUUUAAAGAAAGCGUAAUAGCUCACUGAUCUAAACAAGACGUCUUGCGCCGAAGAUGUAACGGGGCUAAAGCCAUAUACCGAAGUUGCGGAUUUACACGUUAAAGUGUAAGUGGUAGCGGAGCGUUCUGUAAGCCUGCGAAGGUGUACCGUAAGGUAUGCUGGAGGUAUCAGAAGUGAGAAUGCUGACAUGAGUAGCGAAAAGAAGAGUGAGAGACUCUUCCGCUGAAAGUCCAAGGUUUCCUGCGUAAAGCUAAUCUGCGCAGGGUUAGUCGGUCCCUAAGGCGAGGCAGAGAUGCGUAGUCGAUGGCAAUCAGGUUAAUAUUCCUGAACCGGCCCGGAAGUGACGGAUUGAGUAAAUUGUAAGUUCUUAUUGGAUUGAGCUUGCAGUGAAUCAGUCCCAGGAAAUAGCCCGGGCUAAGACCGUACCCGAAACCGACACAGGUGGACAGGUAGAGAAUACCAAAGCGCUUGAGAGAACUAUGUUGAAGGAACUAGGCAAAAUACUUGCGUAACUUCGGGAUAAGCAAGCCCCAUUUUAAGGCAACUUAGGGUGGGGGGCACAUACUAGGGGGUAGCGACUGUUUACUAAAAACACAGGGCUCUGCUAAAUUGAAAGAUGAAGUAUAGGGUCUGACGCCUGCCCGGUGCUGGAAGGUUAAGGAGAGAUGUGCAAGCAUUGAACUGAAGCCCCAGUAAACGGCGGCCGUAACUAUAACGGUCCUAAGGUAGCGAAAUUCCUUGUCGGGUAAGUUCCGACC